GUGAAGAACGCAGCGAAAUGCGAUACGUAAUGUGAAUUGCAGAAUUCUGUGAAUCAUCGAGUCUUUGAACGCACAUUGCGCCCCCUGGUAUUCCGGGGGGCAUGCCUGUCCGAGCGUCAUUGCUGCCCUCAAGCACGGCUUGUGUGUUGGGCCUCCGUCCUCCUCCCGGGGGACGGGCCCGAAAGGCAGCGGCGGCACCGCGUCCGGUCCUCGAGCGUAUGGGGCUUCGUCACCCGCUCUUGUAGGCCCGGCCGGCGCUUGCCGACACAUCAAUCUUUUUUCCAGGUUGACCUCGGAUCAGGUAGGGAUACCCGCUGAACUUAAGCAUAUCAAUAAGCGGAGGA
rnacentral:misc_RNA from 1 species